UUUGGAUUAAUGCCCCAUAGUGUUAUUGAAUCGCGUGGUUUAAUAACUAAAGUUCCAACGGUAUAAGAUGAGCAUGCGUCCCAUUAGUUAGUUGGUAAGGUAACGGCUUACCAAGACAAUGAUGGGUAGGGGUCCUGAGAGGGAGAUCCCCCACACUGGUACUGAGACACGGACCAGACUCCUACGGGAGGCAGCAGUGAGGAAUAUUGGUCAAUGGGCGCAAGCCUGAACCAGCCAUGCCGCGUGCAGGAAGACGGUCCUAUGGAUUGUAAACUGCUUUUAUACAGGAAGAAACAACUCUACGUGUAGAGUCUUGACGGUACUGUAGGAAUAAGGAUCGGCUAACUCCGUGCCAGCAGCCGCGGUAAUACGGAGGAUCCAAGCGUUAUCCGGAAUCAUUGGGUUUAAAGGGUCCGUAGGCGGUCUUAUAAGUCAGUGGUGAAAUCUCCUAGCUCAACUAGGAAACUGCCAUUGAUACUGUAAGACUUGAAUUUUUGUGAAGUAACUAGAAUAUGUAGUGUAGCGGUGAAAUGCUUAGAUAUUACAUGGAAUACCAAUUGCGAAGGCAGGUUACUAACAAACGAUUGACGCUGAUGGACGAAAGCGUGGGGGAGCGAACAGGAUUAGAUACCCUGGUAGUCCACGCCGUAAACGAUGGAUACUA
rnacentral:rRNA from 1 species